AAAAAUACUCAACGAUGGAUAUCUUGGUUCCCAUAUCGAUGAAGAACGCAGCGAAAUGCGAUAUGUAAUGCGAAUUGCAAAAUCCCACGAGUCAUCAAAUCUUUGAACGCAACUGGCGCUGGCUACAGCCAGCAUGCUUGCGUCAGUGU
rnacentral:rRNA from 1 species